rnacentral:lncRNA from 1 species
UGUGUUAUGUGUGUGUUAGAGCGUGUGUGUACUGUGUUAUGUGUGUGUUAGAGCGUGUGUGUACUGUGUUAUGUGUGUGUUAGAGCGUUUGUGUACUGUGUUAUGUGUGUGUAAGAGCGUGUGUGUACUGUGCUAUGUGUGUGUAAGAGCGUGUGUGUACUGUGUUAUGUGUGUGUAAGAGCGUGUGUGUACUGUGUUAUAGCGUGUGUGUACUGUGUUAUGUGUGUGUUAGAGCGUGUGUACUGUGUUAUGUGUGUGUUAGAGCGUGUGUGUACUGUGUUAUGUGUGUGUUAGAGCGUGUGUGUACUGUGUUAUGUGUGUGUAAGAGCGUGUGUGUACUGUGUUAUGUGUGUGUAAGAGCGUGUGUGUACUGUGUUAUGUGUGUGUUAGAGCGUGUGUGUACUGUGUUAUGUGUGUGUUAGAGCGUGUGUGUACUGUGUUAUGUGUGUGUUAGAGCGUGUGUGUACUGUGUUAUGUGUGUGUUAGAGCGUUUGUGUACUGUGUUAUGUGUGUGUAAGAGCGUGUGUGUACUGUGCUAUGUGUGUGUAAGAGCGUGUGUGUACUGUGUUAUGUGUGUGUUAGAGAGUGUGUGUACUGUGUUAUGUGUGUGUUAGAGCAUGUGUGUACUGUGUUAUGUGUGUGUUAGAGCGUGUGUGUACUGUGUUAUGUGUGUGUUAGAGCGUGUGUGUAC